rnacentral:rRNA from 1 species
GGUGAACGCUGGCGGCGUGCUUAACACAUGCAAGUCGAACGAGAACGGGUUAUAGCUUGCUAUAAUUGUCAGCUAAGUGGCGCACGGGUGAGUAAUGUAUAGGUAAUAUGCCUCUUACUAAGGGAUAACAAUUGGAAACGAUUGCUAAUACCUUAUACUCCUUAUUAACUAAAGUUAGUAAGGGAAUGAUUUAUUGGUAAGAGAUUAGCGUGUAUUGUAUCAGUUGGUUGGUGGGGUAAUGGCCUACCAAGACUAUGACGCAUAACUGGUUUGAGAGGAUGAUCAGUCACACUGGAACUGAGACACGGUCCAGACUCCUACGGGAGGCAGCAGUGGGGAAUAUUGCACAAUGGACGAAAGCCUGACCCAGCAACGCCGCGUGGAGGAUUGAAGGCCUUCGGGUUGUAAACUCCUUUUACGGGGGAAGAGGAAGGACGGUACCCCGAGAAUAAGUCACGGCUAACUACGUGCCAGCAGCCGCCGUAA